CAGCCGUAAACUAUGCGCGUUAGGUGUACUGGUGACCACGAGUCACCGGGGUGCCGAAGGGAAACCGUGAAACGUGCCGCCUGGGAAGUACGGUCGCAAGGCUGAAACUUAAAGGAAUUGGCGGGGGAGGCACCACAACGGGUGGAGCCUGCGGUUUAAUUGGACUCAACGCCGGAAAUCUCACCGGAUAGGACAGACAUAUGAUAGUCGGGCUGAAGACUCUACUUGAUGAUCUGAGAGGAGGUGCAUGGCGUCAGUGACU
rnacentral:rRNA from 1 species